AACGAACGCUGGCGGCGUGCUUAACACAUGCAAGUCGAACGCGAAAGGGACUUCGGUCCUGAGUAAAGUGGCGCACGGGUGAGUAACGCGUAGAUAACCUACCUUCACGUCUGGAAUAAUACGCCGAAAGGGGUACUAAUACCGGAUAUUCUUGCUUCUCAUAAGUUUUGCAAGGAAAGGUGGCCUCUGUAUAUGCUACUGCGGGAAGAGGGGUCUGCGUACCAUUAGCUAGUAGGUGGGGUAAUGGCCUACCUAGGCAUCGAUGGUUAGCGGGUCUGAGAGGAUGAUCCGCCACACUGGCACUGGAACACGGGCCAGACUCCUACGGGAGGCAGCAGUGAGGAAUAUUGCGCAAUGGGGGAAACCCUGACGCAGCGACGCCGCGUGAGUGAGGAAGGCCUUCGGGUCGUAAAGCUCUGUCAAAGGGAAAGAAGUGCAUGAUGGCUAAUACCUGUCAUGUUUGACGGUACCCUUAAAGGAAGCACCGGCUAACUCCGUGCCAGCCGCCGCGGUAA
rnacentral:rRNA from 1 species